GAAAUCCACAGCUGAUGAUCACUUUUGCAUUGAACUGCAUCAAAUACAGCAUGAAUCUCCUUUUAAUAUCAUUCUUGUCAAUUCAAGCAUUAUUUGCUCGCGCACAUUUGGGAGUGUUUCGUGAUAUACAGAAAGAAAUUUACGAAGCACAAGACGUUUGCUACAAAGGGCGUCAUAGAAACGUGCCUUGUGACCAAGAUGAGUGCGUUAUGAAGAAAAUAUACCUAUUGGAUAACACUGGAAUGAACGUCAAUAUGUCAAGGAUGCACGCAUCAUACCGUUCUGUUGCUACCGAAUGCAUCAAGGAAGCACAAUCGUCUUCCACAUGUGAAUUUUCGGGCAAAUUUAUUCAGUGCUUUGUGAAGCGUAACUCUGAUUCUAUAUCGAAACACUACGAUUCAUGCCAAAUGAAAUACCCGAUAGAUCGUAGUGGCGAGGUCCCGCUUGAUAUGUCAGAGGAAUCCUUUAAAAAAUUAACCAAUUAUGCAUGUCUCAUUGAGUGCAACUAUGAUACACAAAAACUAUUUACAGAAAACGACGAUUUUAAUAUAGAUUUGUUGAGGCUUCAUUCGAAUCUACCGAUUGAUGUGGUAAAGGAGGCCGAAAAUUGUUGGAAACAACAUCAGCAGGAAGACAAAUGUCAAAGGAGAGCCAACAGGAUUUCGUGUUUAUCUGGAAAGUAUCAUGGUGCAAAUAAAAAUCCAGAUUUGAUACCGUUUGAGACUUUGGUUAAUGAAAUUUACGAGUAAAGUGAUAAUAAUUUUUAAAAGAUUGUCAUGUAUCCGCAAUGAAUAACAACAUUCAAAGAAUAAAUUGAAAUAUCAAGUAUCAA